UAAGCAUCAACAGUUGUUCGCAUACUUCUUUCAUUUCAGGGCGCUUAUCUAUGUCCGGAUUGAAGCACUUCAUUGCUAGAAUGCCAAUGUCUUCGAGGGUAGGGAUAUUUUUGUCAGCACUGAUCUCAUUGUCAAACAUAGCCCUCCCACUGCCCUCUUUCUCAUAAACUUUGGCAAAAUUGAUGGCAGUAUUAUUGUCCUUACCAUUAUAAUAAAUUCGUUUCCUGGUAAUCAGUUCCAAGAGAACAACUCCAAAACUAUAGACAUCGCUCUUCCGUGUGAGAACUCUGGUAUUAACGAAUGUUUCAUCCAUGUAGCCCAUCUCGCUCCCCACAAUCCUGCAUUUACCAUCUUCACCAAUCUUUGAUGACCCAAAACCCGAUAUCUUUGGGACAAAUUUGUCGUCGAGAAGUACAGUGACUGUUCUUAUGUUUCCAUGUAGUAUGGGUUUUGAUCUACUAUGCAUAUAUGACAAUCCUUCUGCCAACCCAAUAGCAAUGUCUAGACGUAAAUCUAGUGGGAGAGGGAAUCUUUUAGUAUCAUUGCCGUGGAGAAUGUUGCAGAGGUGCCCUCGCUCGAUCAAUUCAUAAACCAAUAUUACAGCGUCCAUCUCAUAGCAGAAACCCAACAGAUUGAUAAUGUUCUUAUGGAUAAGUUCAGAAAGGCUAUUCAGUUCAUUGGCACAUCUCCACUUCCCACGUUCAAACAUGUUGUGUGUCUUCACUGCCACCUGUGUGUUAUCCUCAAGAAUUCCAGAGUAGACCACAGUAAACAUAUCUUUACCGAUAAUUCUUGAAUAGUUUCCUGUUAUUUUCUUUAUUUCCAAUGCUGUGAAUAUUCUUUUGCCACUAACAUAGAGCGGACUGAUAAUGUUUGUACCUUGAUGGCUUUGCUUUUUAAAAUCAUUUUGUGUUUCUGCAAACAAGUGCCAACCAAAAUUUUCUUGUGGUGCUUGUUGACUCAUCUUCCUAAGCAUCCGAAGGUAUGCAGCCACAUCACAUAUAUCAGGGCGUCUAUCAAUAUCCUCUGCUAGGCAUUCCUGCACUAGUUUUUCAAUCUCCAGUAGAACCUUCAUGUUGCUCUCAUUAGCAAUCAUAGGAUCAAGCAAUUCUGUCAUCUCUUGUCCUUCAGCAAGAGCUUGAGUGAGACAUGUAGCCCUUUUCUUGGUGAUUAGUUCCAUUAGAACAAUUCCAAAACUAUAAACAUCACUUUUUGAGGUGAGACGCCCCUCCUGGUAAUACAGAGGGUCCAUAUAACAUGUAAUCAUAUUUUCAGUAUGAGUUUUGUCUGUUGAGAGAAGCCUAGAUAUUCCAAAAUCUGAUAUUUUUGCAUUAAAACUGUCAUCUAGAAGAAUGUUGGAGGGCUUGACAUCACCAUGUAAAACAGGGCUGCACAUGGAAUGCAUAUACCCUAGAGCAUCUGCACAAUCUAUAGCAAUGUUCAAUCUUAUGUCCAAUGAAUCGAGGCUAUUCUUGACAUGAAGAUGGUAAUCAAGGUCUCCAUUAGACAUAUACUCCAUGACCAUCAUUAGAUUAUUUUUCUCAGUACAAUAGCCGAUAAGCCUGACUAUAUUCUUAUGGUUGAUUUGACUAUGGACAAUUACUUCUUUAGCAAACUCUUCUUCAGAAUCCAUAUGAAUAUACUUCUUCACCACAACAGCAUGGUUAUCAUCAAGAAUACCCUUGUAAACUUUUCCGAGUUUACCAUUUCCAAGCCUUUUGCUGUAGUUACUGGUAAUUCCUUUUAUAUCUUCUUUCGUGAAUGCCUUUAUAUU
rnacentral:sRNA from 1 species